rnacentral:lncRNA from 1 species
CGUAAAGUUCAAAUGUUUCAUGUCUGAAAAGCUCUGUCAAACUCUUCACAGCCUGCCAGAAUCGGAGCUCCGUCACAGCUGCUGGGUGGUUUCAUUUUACUGUCUUUCACUCUCUACUCCCCUCUCCAACCCACCACAGGCCAUCACCAAAGGUUUCUUGCCCUACCUUCCUUUGGGCACAAAUUACAAAACCCAAGGGGCCAAAUGCCAGUUCAGAACCACGUUGCCUUUCCUCAAGAGAAAAAGUGAAGGCUGGGCACGGUGGCUCAUGCCUGUAAUCCCAGCAGUUUGGGAGGCCGAGGCAGGCGGAUCACCUGAGGUCAGGAGUUUGAGACCAGUCUGGCCAACAUGGUGAAACCACAUCCGUACUAAAAAUACAAAAAUUAGCUGGGCGUGGUGGCACAUGCCUGUAAUCCCAGCUACUUGGGAGGCUGAGGCAAGAGAAUGGCUUGAACCCAGGAGGCAGAGGUUGCAGUGAGCCGAGAUCGCACCACUGCAUUCCAGGCUGGGCGACAGAGUGAAACUCUGUCUCAAAAAAAAAAAAAAAAAAAAAAAGAGAGAGAGAGAGAAAAUGAAAGGAGUGAUAUUCCCAUGUGUAGUGCUUGGACCCAAUCUUAAAAUUCUAGCUUAAGUCAAAGUUUUGGAAACACCUCUGGAAGAGCCCAGGGUCCUGAAUCCACAUUUCUGUAUUUGAAAAAUAAAUACUCAAGACUCAAAGAAGAGAGAACAGACUUUCCCUAAGAUGACUGGAUGAUGGCAGUCAUCUGCAAAGCAUACUGGAUGGAAACAAGACUCCUUAGCAGUAUAAUUGCCAAGAAGGUAUGUUAAAUGAGCCUUGCACAGGGCUUAAACACAAGAGUUGAUUGAAAAAGUCAACCCUAGCAGCACCAACUAACAUGGGCUGAAAUCUACCUGGAACAUACAGAAGGGAAUUUUCAGUAGAUGGGCAAGCUGAGAAGAUCAAUUUCCAGACAACUGUUGAAUGAAUUCUCUGGUGAAGAGGAGUUAGAAAUUAGUAUUAGAAACCCUCAGGAUGCCUUCUAUAGAGUGUUGUAUGGAAUUAUGCCUCAGUUAAGUAUAUUAAAUUAUGUCUGAUCCUCAUUCCAGAGUGCAAUUCAAUCAUUUUCAGUUAAUCCUAUUGUCUCUAUGAAGUCUUAAAUUAAAGAGUUCCUCCAGAGAUUAUCAUAGACAGGGAGUUAUGCUAAGUGGACCUUAACUGACCAUCAAAGUCAAGAUUCAUAUGUGCUGACUGGUAAGCCCUGCCACUGACAAAAUAUUAGGCAGCCUUUUCUUAAAUGAGUGGCAACACCAUAAAACUUACCAGUAGAUCAGCAACAGCAAAUGCACAUGUUUAAGUAAAAAUAAAGAAGAAAACAAGAAAAAUAAAUUCAUUAUUUGUCACCGUAAUAUUUCCAGGAGAAAAAGAACACUAUUACUUAUUAUUAGCACUCAGGUUACAAGACUUGAGAGUUAUGUGACAAGAUCAUUUGGAGACAACUUUCCAAGUUAUCAAAAUAAAUUUCUC